ensembl:lncRNA
ACGGGGCUCAUUUCCCCGCCGUGCACGAAGAGCGUUCACACAGCGAAUGAGGGCGGCGGCGACGUUCCGCUUUGCGGUCUAACUUCCACCUCCGCCCGGGAGGCAGGGAAGCAGCCCUGCGCCUCGCGGCCGGCAGGGGGCAGCAUUGCCCGACACAUCCUGUGAGGCCGCCGAGAGGGGCUGGGCGGGAAGGACGCGGGUAGCUCGCCGCGUUGUGCAGCGCGCAGCAUGGCCGCCUGCAGGUAGCCGUUUUGGGUCGGUGUGCGGCUCGGGGUAGGCUGCCGGCCGCGCAGCGCUCCUAGGGAAGAAGCGCGUUUCACCUAACCUGGGAGCUAUCUGACAGGCUAUGCUGGGCUUCAGUGUGCUGCCCGAGCAGACAGUUGCUGUGUGCUGCACCUUGACGCAGCUCCGGUGCUAUGUGAAUUUAGUUCAGUUACAAAAGGCUUCUCUGCAUUUGCAUGUAUCUGGGUCUCGCUGCAGUGCAUGGAUCAGCGUGGGAGAAGGGCUGAAGUUUGCAAAGAGAGAGAGAGAGAACUCUUACAGCUGAGAAAUGUAUUUCUUCCUUCUGAACCAAUAUUCUUCUAUAGGCAACAAACUAAAGUCAAGGCAGCAACAAUUAAACAUGAGACUCAGAGAAGCUGAAGCUGUGCUUUCAUGAGCUUGCACCUCUAAUGCGGCACCAUGAUUUCUGUGUCAGAGGAACAAUGUCUUCCUUGUAAAGUGGGGUAUGUCAGUAAAGGGAUGUACUGGAGAAGUUACAGUUAUAUAGAACUGGCAACAGUUGUCCACAGCAGAAACCCAGAAGAGGGUUUUUUCCCCUUCUGUCUUGGCAAAAUCUGAAGUGGAACAAAUCUUGCAAGCAACAGAAAGCAACAAGGCUAACUACCUGGCGACUUUGAAGCUUAAAUCUCUGUUAUAACUGUGCUCCUGUCAAAGCAAACGUCCCUGCCCAGUGGACGACAGGGAGCAGCAGAGUUCUCCUUCGAGCAUCAAACCCCAACAUACCCACCCUGAGGGGUGUGUGCGGCUCUCCCUCUUACAGCCCAACAUGCCGAUGCUGUGAGGAGAGGCCUGCAGUGCAUAGCUGCCCCACUGAUGGCCCACACAGACACUGGGGUCAUGGGCUUGUGCAGCACGUUGGGACCACCAGAGGAAUCAUGCUGUGAAAUGUAUCGUUAGUGUUACAGGGUGGAU